rnacentral:rRNA from 1 species
CCUGAACUUAAGCAAGGCUACCCGCUGGACUUAAGCAUAUCAUUAAGCGGAGGAAAAGAAACUAACCAGGAUUCCCUUAGUAACGGCGAGUGAAGCGGGAAAAGCUCAAUAUGAAAAUCUAGGCAUUUGCCUCGAAUUGUAGUCUAUAGAAGUUUUACCAGUGUAAAUAUUUGGUCAAAAUCCCUUGGAAUAGGGUAUCACAGAGGGUGAGAAUCCCGUUUGUGGCUGAAUAUUUUAUGCGUACGGUAUGCUUUCAACGAGUCGAGUUGCUUGGGACUGCAGCUCAAAGUAGGAGGUAAAUUCCUUCUAAAGCUAAAUAUUGGCGAGAGACCGAUAGCGAACAAGUACCGUGAGGG